rnacentral:rRNA from 1 species
GGCUCAGGAUGAACGCUGGCGGCGUGCCUAAUACAUGCAAGUCGAGCGAACGGACGAGAAGCUUGCUUCUCUGAUGUUAGCGGCGGACGGGUGAGUAACACGUGGAUAACCUACCUAUAAGACUGGGAUAACUUCGGGAAACCGGAGCUAAUACCGGAUAAUAUUUUGAACCGCAUGGUUCAAAAGUGAAAGACGGUCUUGCUGUCACUUAUAGAUGGAUCCGCGCUGCAUUAGCUAGUUGGUAAGGUAACGGCUUACCAAGGCAACGAUGCAUAGCCGACCUGAGAGGGUGAUCGGCCACACUGGAACUGAGACACGGUCCAGACUCCUACGGGAGGCAGCAGUAGGGAAUCUUCCGCAAUGGGCGAAAGCCUGACGGAGCAACGCCGCGUGAGUGAUGAAGGUCUUCGGAUCGUAAAACUCUGUUAUUAGGGAAGAACAUAUGUGUAAGUAACUGUGCACAUCUUGACGGUACCUAAUCAGAAAGCCACGGCUAACUACGUGCCAGCAGCCGCGGUAAUACGUAGGUGGCAAGCGUUAUCCGGAAUUAUUGGGCGUAAAGCGCGCGUAGGCGGUUUUUUAAGUCUGAUGUGAAAGCCCACGGCUCAACCGUGGAGGGUCAUUGGAAACUGGAAAACUUGAGUGCAGAAGAGGAAAGUGGAAUUCCAUGUGUAGCGGUGAAAUGCGCAGAGAUAUGGAGGAACACCAGUGGCGAAGGCGACUUUCUGGUCUGUAACUGACGCUGAUGUGCGAAAGCGUGGGGAUCAAACAGGAUUAGAUACCCUGGUAGUCCACGCCGUAAACGAUGAGUGCUAAGUGUUAGGGGGUUUCCGCCCCUUAGUGCUGCAGCUAACGCAUUAAGCACUCCGCCUGGGGAGUACGACCGCAAGGUUGAAACUCAAAGGAAUUGACGGGGACCCGCACAAGCGGUGGAGCAUGUGGUUUAAUUCGAAGCAACGCGAAGAACCUUACCAAAUCUUGACAUCCUUUGACAACUCUAGAGAUAGAGCCUUCCCCUUCGGGGGACAAAGUGACAGGUGGUGCAUGGUUGUCGUCAGCUCGUGUCGUGAGAUGUUGGGUUAAGUCCCGCAACGAGCGCAACCCUUAAGCUUAGUUGCCAUCAUUAAGUUGGGCACUCUAAGUUGACUGCCGGUGACAAACCGGAGGAAGGUGGGGAUGACGUCAAAUCAUCAUGCCCCUUAUGAUUUGGGCUACACACGUGCUACAAUGGACAAUACAAAGGG